GACGAACGCUGGCGGCGUGCCUAAUACAUGCAAGUUGAGCGCUGAAGGUUGGUACUUGUACCAACUGGAUGAGCCGCGAACGGGUGAGUAACGCGUGGGGAAUCUGCCUUUGAGCGGGGGACCACAUUUGGAGACGAAUGCUAAUACCGCAUAAAAACUUUAAACACAAGUUUUAUGUUUGAAAGAUGCCAUUGCAUCACUCAAAGAUGAUCCCGCGUUGUAUUAGCUAGUUGGUGAGGUAAAGGCUCACCAAGGCGAUGAUACAUAGCCGACCUGAGAGGGUGAUCGGCCACAUUGGGACUGAGACACGGCCCAAACUCCUACGGGAGGCAGCAGUAGGGAAUCUUCGGCAAUGGACGAAAGUCUGACCGAGCAACGCCGCGUGAGUGAAGAAGGUUUUCGGAUCGUAAAACUCUGUUGGUAGAGAAGAACGUUGGUGAGAGUGGAAAGCUCAUCAAGUGACGGUAACUACCCAGAAAGGGACGGCUAACUACGUG
rnacentral:rRNA from 1 species